rnacentral:tRNA from 1 species
GCCUAGUUAGCUUAGUUGGUAGUGCGUCUGCCUUGUAAGCGCUAGGCCGCGGGGGCGAUUCCCGCCCGGGGCG